UACGUAGGGUGCGAGCGUUAAUCGGAAUUACUGGGCGUAAAGCGUGCGCAGGCGGUUCGUUGUGUCGGCGGUGAAAGCCCCGGGCUCAACCUGGGAAUGGCCGUUGAAACUGGCGAACUGGAGUGUGGCAGAGGGGGGUGGAAUUCCGCGUGUAGCAGUGAAAUGCGUAGAGAUGCGGAGGAACACCAGUGGCGAAGGCGACUUUCUGGUCUGUAACUGACGCUGAGGCGCGAAAGCGUGGGGAGCAAACAGG
rnacentral:rRNA from 1 species